UGCUCUGCCGUGAAUAAUUGCACUCGCCCGCCUCCCCUUGCCUUGCUGCCCGUCACCACUGCCGACGCCUGCCUCCUCCUCGAUCUCCCAUUCUCACCUUCCCGUCCCCCAGCACCGCCGGGACAUUCCUCCCGAACCGUCGCCAUGGCAACCGCCGUUCCACCGAUCAUCUCCCCGAAGGAAGAUCUCCCCCCUCCACUGACCUCCGCCUCCGAGCCCCCUCCGCUCUUCGACGGCACCACCAGGCUGUAUCUUGCAUAUCACUGUCCGUACGCGCAGCGCGCUUGGAUUGCCAGGAACUGCAAGGGUUUACAGGACAAGAUCAAGGUAGUCGCCAUAGAUCUGGCGGACAGGCCAGCUUGGUACAAGGAGAAAGUUUACCCGGAGAACAAGGUGCCUGCCCUGGAGCAUAACAACCAGGUGAAAGGAGAGAGCUUGGAUUUGGUCAAGUACAUUGACAGCAAUUUUGAUGGCCCAGCAUUGCUGCCUGAUGAUUCUGCAAAGAAGCAGUUUGCUGAGGAACUGCUUGCGUUCAGCGAUGGGUUUAAUAGUGCAUUUUUCUCAUGCUUACGCUCCAAGGGAGAUGUGUCAAAUGAAGCCGCUGCUGCUGUGGAUAAAAUAGAAGCUGCCUUGGGGAAGUUCAGCGAUGGCCCAUUCUUCCUUGACCAAUUCAGUUUGUUUGUUGUGAUUUUUUUUAGGUGGACAUUGCGUAUGUACCAUUCAUCGAAAGGUUUCAGAUAUUCUAUUCUGGUAUCAAGAAGGAUGAUCUUGCCAAGGGAAGGCCCAACCUGCACAAAUUCAUUGAGGAAGUGAACAAGGUCGACGCAUAUACACAGACCAAAUUGGACCCACAGUUUCUACUUGAUCAAAUGAAGGAGAAGUUUGGGAUUGCUUGAAGAUGUGACCAAGGAUAACCAAAUAUGCAUGCCAGGGAAUCGCUGCAGAAUAGCAGAUUUAGACUCGGGGGUGUUGCAAUAUAUUUUGAAUAAAAGAUGCAUGCCAUGCAUAUAGGCCAUGCUUUUAUAUAGAGAAUAAACAGACAAACUGGGUCUUAUUGUAAACUUUUAUUGUCUCGUAAAGGAUGAUCAUUCUGAGUUGUGCUGAAUGCUCGUGAACUUUUCUUAAUGAACCGGUGCUCCUUUCUUACUCCUAUCAA